rnacentral:rRNA from 1 species
GAUAAACGCUGGCGGCGUGCAUAACACAUGCAAGUCGAACGAUGAAGAUUAAAAGAUUUCUUCGGAAUGAACUUAAUUGGAGUAGUGGCGGACGGGGGAGUAACUCGUGAGUAACCUGCCUUGUACAAGGGGAUAGCCGUUGGAAACGACGAAUAAUACCCUAUGACAUCAAAUAAUCGCAUGAGAAGUUUAUCAAAGAUUUAUCGGUAUAAGAUGGACUCGCGUCUGAUUAGCUAGUUGGAAGAGUAAAAGCCGACCAAGGCAACGAUCAGUAGCCGGCGUGAGAGCGUGUACCGCCCCCUUGGGACUGAGACCCGGCCCAGACCCCUACGGAAGGCAGCAGUGGGGACUUUUCCACAACGCGGGAAACCCUGAUGCCGCGACGCCGCGUGAUUUAGAAGGCAUUCGGGUUGUAAAAAUCUUUUGUCUGGGCAGAACAUGACAGUACCAUACGAAUAAGGACCGGCUAAUUACGUG